CUGUUGCUGAAACCGGCUCUCUAUCAGAGGUUAGGCUGAGCACACGCAUGACAACCCUCAACCCAGCCACGCUCAGGCUUUGGACAGCACUUGCAGGUGUCAAGAGGGCUUUCACACAUGUCAUCUAAUUGUAAUCCUUACAACAACCCUGCCUUAUUAUCCCCCAUUUUACAGAUGGAGAGACUGAGGCUGAGAGGGAGUGGCUUGCCUAAGGCCACUUCACGACUUCAUGGCAGAGACGAGAUUCAAACCAGGGACUUCUUGAUUCACAGCUCAGUCUCUUAGCCAUGGCGCUGUGCCAGCAUAGGGAGGGGACAGACCCGGUGGCCUUCCUCCUGCCCUCCACUUCCAUGUUCAGUGCCAGCUCUUUGUUGAAUAAAGUAAAAGAGAAAUCCCGCCUUUUCCCCUCCUUAAGGAACCCAAGGCGGCGUACAUAACCCUCCUCCUCCUCCUCUCCAUGUUAUCCUCACAACAACAACAACCCUGUGAGUGGAAGACCAGCUGGGAUAAGUCUGGCAGGAGUCCGGAGGACGAAUUACCGUCUGGGAAUGUAAACCAGCUUAAACUGGAGCUUAAUUGAACCAGUUUAUUGGGGGACGGAAAUUGAAUCCAGUUCCAGUUCCAUGGGUAUCUGUCGAGAAGGCGGCUGAUCUGAUCGCAGGAGCCUCUCUGAUAAGAUCUAUGCCGCGAGUGGAGUCUCAACCGCAAAGAGGUCUUGGCGGAACCAUUACCGUUCCCUCCGGAAACGCCGCCCAUCCGGAGCUUGGCUGCCAUCCCAGAAGACGAGGGAGGGCAGGGCUGCGAGGAAGUGUGGCCUGCCUCACUUCUCCAGCCUGAAGGUGGAGGUCUGAGCAGACGAGAGAGGAAGGCCGGG